AAACCCUUUUUCCUUUAUAUCAAGAUCACCUUCAUCAUGUUGGGAUACACUACUAGCUCAUGAAGCCAAGUGGCACUUCCAACCAAAGUUGGUGAUCUGAUCCAAAGAUUAUUUUCAUUCAUUAAAAACAUUAAUUGGUGAUUUAAAAUAUUAUUUUCCUAUUUUAUAUUUAUGUUUGUUUCUAACGCCAGGAAUGAUAUUCCCACAAGGAAAAUUGCUUUCCUGCCUUAGAAAAUUCUGAGUAAAUUCAUGGAAGCUCAGAAGGACAUAUAUUUUCCAUAUAUAAGAUUUUCAACCCUAUUUUAUAUUAAUAUUAUUUGAGUAAAACCCUGAAAACCAUUUCUGUCUGUUUUAGCUUUUUGAGAUGUUUCCAAAGGAAAUAAUCUCAAUAAAUUCCCAUAAAGUUACAGGAGCCCUCCCAAGCCAUAUUAGGUGCUCACAUAAAAUCUCACCAUGAUCCAAGGUGGGGAAGUGCACCAAAUGAUCCCAAAACCCUCUCUGUCCAGAGAGGAGUUGGAACAACUCUACAUUGCAAAGUUUCUCCAAUGGAGCUGAAACUUUGCAGAGGUGUUUGACACCCCAAAUGAGGACUCCACACCAAAGAUGAGAUUUGUGAGACUCUGAUUGGCCACACUUCCUUUGUAAAGGACAGUACUGGUCAUUUUGGAGCAUUUCCAAGUUUACAAAGCUAAACUUGUUCAAUGGAGCUCAAAUUUGGUGGAACC
rnacentral:lncRNA from 1 species